GGAGAAACCCUUUGGCCCUAUAGUUGAUAACAAUGCAUAUCACAAACCCAGUCAGCAUACAUAUAUUAUUUUAUUUUCUGGAAUUUCAUUCACAUACCAUUGAGAGUUCCAUCUGGGAAAAAUGCCCAGAAUGAAUAAGGGAGGAAUCACUUUUUCCCCUACCUUGUUCUCACUGAAGGAAAGCUCGAGCUCGGAGAUGUCUUGUUGGGCUGCAAGAGUUGCUUUGAGUGAAGGGAUCACAUCCUCCUCCAUCAUCUCAGGAAGAGGCUUUGCCGGAGCCUUUUCUGCACGCUUAGGCUUCGGCUUUGGCUUCGCACCCUCCACCGCCUCUUUCUCCUCCUUCGUCUCAGCAGCAGCAACUGAUUUAACAAUCACCAUAUAUAUUACACUCACAACCUGCACAGGUUAAGCCGAGAAAAUUAAUCACUGAAGAUCUUUGCAUGCAAUAGGGAAAAUCUUGAACUGAUACCUGUGAUGAUGAUGAGGUAGCUCUGCUUUUCUGGCACAAAUAAGAAGAUGGGCAUCUGAAAGAUGCAAUGGACCCUCCUGUUGUAGCCAUUUUUCUUGUAUUGUUUUUUAUAAGAAGCUUCUUUUGCUAUUUUUCAACUAACUUUUUGUUUUGGUGUAAAAUUUUGAGAAUGUGGAUACUGCUCACAGUAACAUGGAGGAAGAUGAAGGCUGCAGCUCUAUCAUCCACAUAUUAUUGGUUAA